GCAUACUUAACCUCCAAUUUCAGUCAUUCAAAAUCCCUUACCAAUUUUUCCUGAGUUGUCAGCUUCAUUAAUUUCUCCCUGCCUGUUCUGCUCAAGGCAUCUACCACUAGAUUUGCUUUGUCUUGAUGGUACAAAAUUUCACAGUCGAAAUCUUUGAUCAAUUCCAGCCAUCGGCACUGCCUCAUGUUUAUCUCCUUCUGAGUGAAGAUAUACUUCAG
rnacentral:lncRNA from 1 species